UACGGGGGGAGCAAGCGUUGUUCGGAUUUACUGAGCGUAAAGGGCGCGUAGGCGGCCACCGCAAGUCGACUGUGAAAUCUCCGGGCUUAACCCGGAAAGGUCAGCCGAUACUGCGGGGCUAGAGUGCAGAAGGGGCAACUGGAAUUCUCGGUGUAGCGGUGAAAUGCGUAGAUAUCGAGAGGAACACCUGCGGCGAAGGCGGGUUGCUGGGCUGACACUGACGCUGAUGAGCGAAAGCGUGGGGAGCGAACAGG
rnacentral:rRNA from 1 species